UCCAGGCAAAUCCGGAUAAUCAAGGCUGAGGUGUGAUGACGAGGCACUACGGUGCUGAAGUAACAAAUGCCCUGCUUCCAGGAAAAGCCUCUAAGCAUCAGGUAACAUCAAAUCGUACCCCAAACCGACACAGGUGGUCAGGUAGAGAAUACCAAGGCGCUUGAGAGAACUCGGGUGAAGGAACUAGGCAAAAUGGUGCCGUAACUUCGGGAGAAGGCACGCUGGUGUGUAGGUGAAGCCCCUGCGGGUGGAGCUGAGACCAGUCGAAGAUACCAGCUGGCUGCAACUGUUUAUUAAAAACACAGCACUGUGCAAACACGAAAGUGGACGUAUACGGUGUGACGCCUGCCCGGUGCCGGAAGGUUAAUUGAUGGGGUUAUCCGUAAGGAGAAGCUCUUGAUCGAAGCCCCGGUAAACGGCGGCCGUAACUAUAACGGUCCUAAGGUAGCGAAAUUCCUUGUCGGGUAAGUUCCGACCUGCACGAAUGGCGUAAUGAUGGCCAGGCUGUCUCCACCCGAGACUCAGUGAAAUUGAACUCGCUGUGAAGAUGCAGUGUACCCGCGGCAAGACGGAAAGACCCCGUGAACCUUUACUAUAGCUUGACACUGAACAUUGAGCCUUGAUGUGUAGGAUAGGUGGGAGGCUUUGAAGCGUGGACGCCAGUCUGCGUGGAGCCAACCUUGAAAUACCACCCUUUAAUGUUUGAUGUUCUAACGUUGGCCCCUGACCGGGGUUGCGGACAGUGUCUGGUGGGUAGUUUGACUGGGGCGGUCUCCUCCCAAAGCGUAACGGAGGAGCACGAAGGUUAGCUAAUCCUGGUCGGACAUCAGGAGGUUAGUGCAAUGGCAUAAGCUAGCUUGACUGCGAGCGUGACGGCGCGAGCAGGUGCGAAAGCAGGUCAUAGUGAUCCGGUGGUUCUGAAUGGAAGGGCCAUCGCUCAACGGAUAAAAGGUACUCCGGGGAUAACAGGCUGAUACCGCCCAAGAGUUCAUAUCGACGGCGGUGUUUGGCACCUCGAUGUCGGCUCAUCACAUCCUGGGGCUGAAGUAGGUCCCAAGGGUAUGGCUGUUCGCCAUUUAAAGUGGUACGCGAGCUGGGUUUAGAACGUCGUGAGACAGUUCGGUCCCUAUCUGCCGUGGGCGCUGGAGAAUUGAGGGGGGCUGCUCCUAGUACGAGAGGACCGGAGUGGACGCAUCACUGGUGUUCGGGUUGUCAUGCCAAUGGCACUGCCCGGUAGCUAAAUGCGGAAGAGAUAAGUGCUGAAAGCAUCUAAGCACGAAACUUGCCCCGAGAUGAGUUCUCCCUGAGACUUUAAGUCUCCUGAAGGAACGUUGAAGACGACGACGUUGAUAGGCCGGGUGUGUAAGCGCAGCGAUGCGUUGAGCUAACCGGUACUAAUGAACCGUGAGGCUUAACC
rnacentral:rRNA from 1 species